GUAGGUGGCAAGCGUUGUCCGGAAUUAUUGGGCGUAAAGCGCGCGCAGGUGGUUUCUUAAGUCUGAUGUGAAAGCCCACGGGCUCAACCGUGGAGGGUCAUUGGAAACUGGGGAACUUGAGUGCAGAAGAGGAAAGUGGAAUUCCAAGUGUAGCGGUGAAAUGCGUAGAGAUUUGGAGGAACACCAGUGGCGAAGGCGACUUUCUGGUCUGUAACUGACACUGAGGCGCGAAAGCGUGGGGAGCAAACAGGAUUAGAUACCCUGGUAGUCCACGCCGUAAACGAUGAGUGCUAAGUGUUAGAGGGUUUCCGCCCUUUAGUGCUGCAGCUAACGCAUUAAGCACUCCGCCCGGGGAGUACGGUCGCAAAGACUG
rnacentral:rRNA from 1 species